AUACUCUGGUUCCUCUUCAGAUCGAAUAAAUCGUUCUCCUUUUACUAAAGAUUUCUGUGGAGAGGAACAAUCAUGAGUUGUUAUGAAUAUUUUGAAGUCCGAUCUUUUUAUUCAGUU